CAAAAAUUUUCACAUCAUUUUGCUCUCAUUCCUAUUAAGGAAGAACUAGAAACACAAGCUCUCAUACUUCGGUUCCAGCAAUAUCAAAGGAGAAAAUCCUCUAUUUUCCUUGAUUACUCACCAAAAAAUCUUCAAGGAGCAGGAAAGCAUAGGGAAGGUCCAUUCAUUGCUUGAGACUCUUGGUACACAGCUGCUGAUCGAUUUUUGCAGGAAGUUCUUUAGUGCAACCCUAAGAGCCUCAACAUGGAGAAGCAGUAUUUUUGUACAUAUGGCUAGUUUUAUAUAGUCUCCCUACUAUUUUGUGUGUGUGUGUGUAUAGCAAAAGUGAUAUAUAUGUAUAAAUAGUAUUCCGCUAUAUUAGGAUGAUUUUUUCCAUAUGAUAUUAUGGUUUUGUAUAAACAAGUUAAAGAUGCU